GGUUAUUGAAUUCAUUGGAGAACGAGUGCUGUCCUAAAUUUGCUAACCCAGUUAUUUCUGGGAAAUACUACAAGAUGUCCGUCUCAUAAAGUGAUGGUGGGAGGCCUAGUAGGCAAAGUAGAAGAGAAGCACAGGAGUCUGCAUGAAAGAAGCCUCAGUAGGAGAGUCAAUGGCUCUCAGUGUGAAUAAAAAUAAUUCAUAUUUUGUA